GUCUUAGUUCGUGGAGUGAUCUGUCUGCUUAAUUGCGUUUCAAAAUAUGAAUUUGAGUACCAGGUCCCAAGUGUUUCAAGUAAAUCUGUCUCUGAGUGUGAACUGUAUCUCUUCGGAUAUGUGACUAUCACUCUUAGGCAAUUAUGAUUUGCUUGUAGCCCCUGGUACUCUUUUGAACGCAACGGACGUGAUUGCAACCCCUUGUUGAGUUUGCUUCUCUUAGGAACUCUACGUCUACUGAUCCACCUACCUUAGCGGGUAGGUGGUGAGGUGGAUAAACUCGGGGGACUGCUGACUAUAACCAUUUCUCAAAACAGAGGAAGGUUGCGGCAAUAACAGGUCUGUGAUGCCCUCAGAUGUCCCGGGCUGCACACGUGCUACAAUGAGUAGCGCAGUGUGCACAUUUUGAAGAGUGAUAGGUGCUGGGGUUGUACAUUUUAAAGGGCUCGUCCUAGUAACCAACCGCCCCCAAGCAUCUAUCAACCUUCCCUUUACAGGGUGGGUAACCUCUUCGAAGUGCUGGUUUGAUUUCCCUAGUGUUUGUCAUAAUAAUCCUCGUCGCACCUACUCUAGGACAUAGUGAACAUUGUAGACUUUGUCAUAAUGAUUCCCGUCUUAGGUUUGCGACGCAUGCUUUUCCUGGUUGACUCAUCGUGGGAAC
rnacentral:rRNA from 1 species